rnacentral:hammerhead_ribozyme from 1 species
AUCCGGCUGAUGCGUUUUGAAUAGGACAAAACGCGCGUCCUGGAU